UUCCGUUUGAUCCCGGCAGAGGUUACUGCUAUCGAGGUUCGACUAAGCCAUGCGAGUCGAAUGUAGCAAUACAUGGCGUACUGCUCAGUAACACGUGGACAACCUACCCUUAGGUCGGGGAUAAACCCGGGAAACUGGGUAUAAUACCCGAUAGUCCUCGGAUGCUGGAAUGCACCGAGGUCUAAAGCUCCGGCGCCUAAGGAUGGGUCUGCGGCCUAUCAGGUAGUAGUGGGUGUAGCGUACCUACUAGCCUACGACGGGUACGGGUUGUGAGAGCAAGAGCCCGGAGAUGGAUUCUGAGACACGAAUCCAGGCCCUACGGGGUGCAGCAGGCGCGAAAACUUUACAAUGCUGGAAACAGCGAUAAGGGAACCUCGAGUGCCAGGUUACAAAUCUGGCUGUCGUGAUGCCUAAAAAGCAUUGCAUAGCAAGGGCCGGGCAAGACCGGUGCCGGCCGCCGCGGUAACUCCGGCGGCUCGAGUGGUAACCGCUAUUAUUGGGUCUAAAGGGUCUGUAGCCGGCCGGAUAAGUCUUUUGGGAAAUCUGGCAGCUUAACUGUCAGGCUUUCAGAGGAUACUGUCUGGCUCGAGGCCGGGAGAGGUGAGAGGUACUUCAGGGGUAGGGGGAAAUCUUGUAAACUCGAAGGACCACCA
rnacentral:rRNA from 1 species